rnacentral:rRNA from 1 species
CAGCACGGGAGCAAUCCUGGUGGCGAGUGGCGAACGGGUGAGUAAUAUAUCGGAACGUGCCCAGUCGUGGGGGAUAACGUAGCGAAAGCUACGCUAAUACCGCAUACGAUCUACGGAUGAAAGCGGGGGAUCGCAAGACCUCGCGCGAUUGGAGCGGCCGAUAUCAGAUUAGCUAGUUGGUGGGGUAAAAGCCCACCAAGGCGACGAUCUGUAGCUGGUCUGAGAGGACGACCAGCCACACUGGAACUGAGACACGGUCCAGACUCCUACGGGAGGCAGCAGUGGGGAAUUUUGGACAAUGGGCGAAAGCCUGAUCCAGCAAUGCCGCGUGCAGGACGAAGGCCUUCGGGUUGUAAACUGCUUUUGUACGGAACGAAACGGUCUCUUCUAAUAAAGGGGGCUAAUGACGGUACCGUAAGAAUAAGCACCGGCUAACUACGUGCCAGCAGCCGCGGUAAUACGUAGGGUGCGAGCGUUAAUCGGAAUUACUGGGCGUAAAGCGUGCGCAGGCGGUUAUAUAAGACAGAUGUGAAAUCCCCGGGCUCAACCUGGGACCUGCAUUUGUGACUGUAUAGCUAGAGUACGGUAGAGGGGGAUGGAAUUCCGCGUGUAGCAGUGAAAUGCGUAGAUAUGCGGAGGAACACCGAUGGCGAAGGCAAUCCCCUGGACCUGUACUGACGCUCAUGCACGAAAGCGUGGGGAGCAAACAGGAUUAGAUACCCUGGUAGUCCACGCCCCUAACGAUGUCAACUGGUUGUUGGGUCUUCACUGACUCAGUACAGAAGCU